rnacentral:tRNA from 1 species
GCCCAGGUGGUGAAAUUGGUAGACACGUCACUUUGAGGGGGUGGUGUUCGCAAGGACGUGCAAGUUCGAGUCUUGUUCUGGGCA